rnacentral:rRNA from 1 species
GUGCCAGCAGCCGCGGUAAUACGUAGGGGGCAAGCGUUGUCCGGAAUCAUUGGGCGUAAAGCGCGUGUAGGCGGCUUCGUAAGUCCGUUGUGAAAGUCCAGGGCUCAACCCUGGAAUGCCGAUGGAUACUGCGGAGCUAGAGUCCGGAAGAGGCGAGUGGAAUUCCUGGUGUAGCGGUGAAAUGCGCAGAUAUCAGGAGGAACACCAAUGGCGAAGGCAGCUCGCUGGGACGGUACUGACGCUGAGACGCGAAAGCGUGGGGAGCAAACAGGAUUAGAUACCCUAGUAGUCC